UACGGAGGGUGCAAGCGUUAUCCGGAUUUACUGGGUUUAAAGGGUGUGUAGGCGGACUUUUAAGUCAGCGGUGAAAUCUCCGGGCUCAACCCGGAAACUGCCAUUGAUACUAUUAGUCUUGAAUCUUGUUGAGGUAGGCGGAACGGGUCAUGUAGCGGUGAAAUGCAUAGAUAUGACCCGGAACACCGAUUGCGAAGGCAGCCUACUAAGCAAAGUAUUGACGCUGAGGCACG
rnacentral:rRNA from 1 species